rnacentral:rRNA from 1 species
AGGAUUAACGCUGGCGGCGUGCAUGAAACAUGCAAGUCGAGCGCGGUGCGUGGCUUCGGUCACGCAUCUAGCGGCGAACGGGUGAGUAACACGUGAGCAACCUACCUUUGAGACCGGAAUAGCUCUGGGAAACCAGGAUUAAUGCCGGAUGUGGUCACGACGGGACAUCCCGACGUGAGUAAAGGGGCAACCCGCUCAAUGACGGGCUCGCGGCCUAUUAGCUUGUUGGUGGGGUAACGGCCUACCAAGGCUGUGAUGGGUAGCUGGUCUGAGAGGACGAACAGCCACACUGGGACUGAGACACGGCCCAGACUCCUACGGGAGGCAGCAGUUAGGAAUUUUCCGCAAUGGGCGAAAGCCUGACGGAGCAACGCCGCGUGAGUGAUGAAGACCCUUGGGUUGUAAAGCUCUGUCGGAGGGGAAGAAAUAAUGACGGUACCCUCCAAGAAGCCCCGGCUAACUACGUGCCAGCAGCCGC